rnacentral:misc_RNA from 1 species
CAUGCACCUACAAAAAUCUAAUCAAAUCAAAUCUCCAACCAAUAAGAAAUAAUGAGGCAUGCCCUUAAUUACUCUGUUGCCUAGAUUGCCAAGUCUUCUGAGCCAAGUAUUCAAGACCAUCCAAAGACAUAAUACUCAAUAGCUUAAGCUUACUAGGUGAUAUAGGAGACAAAACAGAAGCUUGGACAAGUGCAGUCCCCUAUUGAGAAAUCCAUGUAUGGAGAAGCAGGUUUGACUUUCUUCAUCUUAGUUCUUUUUGUCCAGUCACGUUUAGUGGACUGUCAACCCAGCAUCGAAUGUUUCGCUAGUGCAAAUACCAUAACAGGAAGGCACAACAAUCUCUCCAAAAGUAAAAGUCAAUUUAAGAUGAAUAAUUUUAAUAUAAAUGAAAUUAGAGCUACUAUUUAGUUUCCUUCCCUGUAGAAAAAUUAAAACCCUUCAGAUAUAGUGCUUAAGAAAUAAAGACAAGUGGAAUGAACUGAAUUUUUAAUCAAAGAUUCAUACAAAAUUUUGAUUCUCUUCUAAAAUUCUAAGACUAGCCAAGAUGGACCAUGAGAUUGGUGGUGUUAAUGGUAGCCCACCUGCUGCUUGAUAAUAUUGCCAUCAAUUGCAAGUUUCAUGCAUUUAUCUUAAUUAUCCUUUUCAUAAAAAUGUAAAAGUCUUCACACUUUAUAUGUCAGUCAGCUUUCAAGCCCAAAACACAUGAAUGUAACCAAUACUCCAAAGCAUGCUACACAAAAAGUUGGAUGACAAAAAGAACUCCCAACCUUAACAUCAAACUCAAAAACGAUAUUUUAGCAUGAAUUGUCAUCAAUUUUUUUUUAACUAUAGAGUUGAAUAACUUCAUUAAAAAAUUGAAUUCUUACCUAUACCAAUACGUUCACCAAU